CAAAAGCAAGAAUUAGUAAUAUCGGAGAGAAAGAGCCCAAAAAUUCCAAUCCAAUAGAAUGAGUAGUAGUAAUUACGACGGCAGAAAGAAGAUGGAGAAGUCAGUUGAAGAAGAUGAAGUGGAGGAAUUGCUGAAAGCUGCACAAGAUGAUAUGCUUCUUAAACUCGGCCUCAAUUCCCACAUGACCCACUCUUCCUCUCAAUUUUCUAGCAUUGACCCUGAUCUUGAUUCACGCUUUCUAGCCCUGAAAAAACCCCAUCAAUCAAAAUCAAAUUCAAAAUCAAUAUCAAAAUCAAAGCUUGAUGAUACAGCAGGCACAACCCAGAAAAACCCAGAAAAGGUUUUGCAAAAUAUCGAUGAAAGUGAUGAUCUUUUUGCAAGAUUUGCUGCUCUCAAGAGUUCUCUUCCUUCGUAUAAUACUUCUGUUAGAGAUGGUCAAGUGCAGCAGCAGCAGCAGUUGAUGGAUGAUGAUGGUGCUGGAGAAGAAGAUGAAGUGGAGAAGGUCACCAUGGAACGGACAUGUUGUCAUAGGAUUUCGCUGAAAUCUCGCAGCUCUUGGAGAGCAUUGCUAUUUCCAAUCUGUUUUGUGGUGAUUCCUUCGAACCGUCAUAUCCAACAUCGACCACUGAAUGAAGCAGUAUUUCAUAUAGUCAUGCAAAACCAUCCUGGCAAAGUUGUGGAUAGUGACCAUUGGCCUCUUGCUGGUCGUCGUCUGCUGGAUCAAGAUACCAAAACUGUAGACAGCCCAACUCCUUGAUGGCUCUGUUCCUGGUCCAUAUUCAGGCAUCUUUUAAGAAUUUGCAACCUUAGCUUUGUAGAAUUUGAUAGUGAAAGUGGAAGAGCACCAGUAAAGUUGUUGCUUCCAAGCUGAUAAAGAUGAAGAUGGGGAAGCACGAGCACAAAGCCUGAUGGAAGUUCUCCACCAUGUUAAUGGAUGAUGGGCAUAUACCUGAUAGAUUGUUGCUGCAGAAUGUUAGGAAUCUUAAUUUUCUCAGUGCAUCUGGAGUUCUCCCUUAGAGGGCAUCAAUAGCAGCUGAUAAACUCUGAAGAGAGCAAGGCAACUAAGGUUAAAUCAGUUAGACAAGUUGGCUGGUAUCCGCCCUUCCCUUCGAGAAGAUUCCUGUCAGGUCUAGAAUCUUCAUUUCAAGAAGAUAACCAAACUUGAUAAGAAAUUCCACAUUGAAGGGUAUUGUUGUGGAGAUUUAUCAUAUGACAAAAGUUUCAGUUUAUACGUCAGUCCCUCUGGAAAUUAAACUAAUGAUGGUUACUCUGCUGUGUUCACUCCACAGGUGACACCUUCUCACUGGCAAAAUAGAGUAUGAAAGUUGCUAAAUUCGGUUUGAGAUCCCUUAUACUCAAAAAGGGAUUUGAUUGGACCACUUUAGUAAUAAUUGUAUAAAUAACUAUAGAUGACUGUUUUUUUAAACAAAAUUUUCACUUUUCUUGUAUUUUCUUAGCACUCCAUCUGAGUUGGAGGCUAGAUACUUGUAUAAGCAUACUUAUGGGUGCUAAUAGUCAAUGAUGCAACAAUUGUAGACAUUUAUAAUCAA